AUUAGAUACCCCGGUAGUCCACGCCCUAAACGAUGUUCACUAGUCGUCGGGAUGCUAGUCAUCUCGGUGAUGCACUUAACAGAUUAAGUGAACCGCCUGGGGAGUACGGUCGCAAGAUUAAAACUCAAAGGAAUAGACGGGGACCCGCACAAGUGGUGGAGCAUGUGGUUUAAUUCGAAGAUACGCGAAGAACCUUACCUAGCCUUGACAUUGAUAGAAUACACCAGAGAUGGAGUAGUGCCUUUCGGGGAACUUGAAAACAGGUGCUGCACGGCUGUCGUCAGCUCGUGUCGUGAGAUGUUGGGUUAAGUCCCGCAACGAGCGCAACCCUCGUCCUUAGUUGCCAGCAGGUUAAGCUGGGCACUCUAAGGAGACUGCCUUCGUAAGGAGGAGGAAGGUGAGGACGACGUCAAGUCAUCAUGGCCCUUAUGGCUAGGGCUACACACGUGCUACAAUGGGGCGUACAGAGUGUUGCGAUACCGCGAGGUGGAGCUAAUCACUUAAAGCGUCUCUCAGUUCGGAUAGCAGUCUGCAACUCGACUGCUUGAAGCUGGAAUCACUAGUAAUCGUAGAUCAGCAAUGCUACGGUGAAUACGU
rnacentral:rRNA from 1 species